rnacentral:rRNA from 1 species
UACAGAGGGGCUAGCGUUGUUCGGAAUUACUGGGCGUAAAGGGCGCGUAGGUGGCCUGUUAAGUCGAACGUGAAAUCCCCGGGCUCAACCCGGGAACUGCGUCCGAGACUGGCAGGCUCGAAUCCGGGAGAGGGAUGUGGAAUUCCAGGUGUAGCGGUGAAAUGCGUAGAUAUCUGGAGGAACACCGGUGGCGAAGGCGGCAUCCUGGACCGGUAUUGACGCUGAGGCGCGAAAGCGUGGGGAGCGAACGAGG